rnacentral:rRNA from 1 species
UACGUAGGGGGGCGAGCGUUGUCCGGAAUUAUUGGGCGUAAAGGGCGCGCAGGCGGUUUUGUUAAGUCUGUGGUGAAAGACCGGGGGCUCAACCCCCGGAGUGUCCGCAGAGACUGGCAGACUGGAGUAUCGGAGAGGAGUGCGGAAUCCUGGUGUAGCGGUGGAAUGCGUAGAGAUCAGGUGGAACACCGAUGGCGAAGGCAGCACUCUG